rnacentral:lncRNA from 13 species
CACCCACUUAGGACAAUUUUGGGGGGUUUUUUGUUGCCUGGAGCCUGUGGGGCUGGAGCAGGACUGGCGAGCUCCUUGCCCCCCCCAGGCUCGUCCAGCAGCAGAGGGUGCUCAUGCACUGCUGUGCAAAUCAUCCCUCUCCCUCAGCCAUCUUAGGGAAAUGUUUCCCUUCCCUGCAGUCUCCAUUUUAUGUUCCUGACGCAGAAAAUAAAAAGGAGGCUGAGCACAUCCCCCAGACUGCCUGGAAGCAGGAUGGGAGCUCAGGGUGGGAAUUCGGGAUCCAGAUCAGGAUGGGAGCACAGGAUGGGAGCUCAGGGUGGGAAUUCGGGAUCGAGAUCAGGACGGGAGCACAGGAUGGGAACUUGGGAUCGAGAUCAGGAUGGGAGCUCGGGAUGGGAGCACAGGAUGAAGCUGGGGAUAGAGCUCAGGAUGGAGCACAGGAUGGAGCUGGGGAUAGAGCUCAGGAUGGGAGCUCAGGAUGGGAGCUCAGGAUGGAGCUGGGAAUAGAGCUCAGGAUGGGAGCUCAGGAUGGGAGCUCAGGAUGGGAGCUCAGGAGGGAGCUCAGGAUGGAGCUGGGGAUAGAGCUCAGGAUGGGAGCUCAGGAUGGGAGCUCAGGAUGGGAGCUCAGGAUGGAGCUCAGCUUCCAGCCCCUUGCCAGGCUCCCCAGCCCAGAGGGAUUUUCCUGUUUCCAUUGUUCAGGACACCGAGAUCUGUCCUUGUUCUUUCUUUCCUUCCUGCCUGUGCACGUUCAGGAGGAGGGAGGGGGUUGCCCCAGGUCCAUGACCAACAAAUGCUGGCAGCAGCACCUUUCCCAGCUGCGUGGAGAGUCCCAGGAGAGCUGCCAGCAUUGA